rnacentral:rRNA from 1 species
UACGUAGGGACCAAGCGUUGUUCGGAUUUACUGGCGUAAAGGGCGCGUAGGCGGCAUGACAAGUCACUUGUGAAAUCUCCGGGCUUAACUCGGAACGGUCAAGUGAUACUGUCGCGCUAGAGUGCGGAAGGGGCAAUCAGAAUUCUUGGUGUAGCGGUGAAAUGCGUAGAUAUCAAGAGGAAUACCUGAGGUGAAGACGGGUUGCUAGGCCGACACUGACGCUGAAGCGCGAAAGCCAGGGGAGCAAACGGG